UCCGGGUUGGACCCGGCGGUCCCGCCAGACAUGGUAACUGGCAGCGAGGGUUGCGCUCGUUGCGGGACUUAACCCAACACCUCACGGCACGAGCUGACGACAGCCAUGCAGCACCUGUGCACGCUCCCCUUGCGGGGUCGUUACCCUUUCGGGCUUCUACCACGUGCAUGUCAAGGCCAGGUAAGGUUCCUCGCGUUGCAUCGAAUUGAGCCACAUACUCCACCGCUUGUGCAGGCCCCCGUCAAUUUCUUUGAGUUUUAAUCUUGCGACCGUACUCCCCAGGCGGCACGUUUAUCGCGUUAGCUCCGCCACGAACGGGGUCGAUUCCUCCUACAGCAAGCAUGCACCGUUUAGGGCUAGGACUAC
rnacentral:misc_RNA from 1 species